rnacentral:rRNA from 1 species
UACGUAGGGCGCAAGCGUUGUCCGGAAUUAUUGGGCGUAAAGAGCUCGUAGGCGGUCUGGCGCGUCCGUUGUGAAAACUCGAGGCUCAACCUCGGGCUUGCAGUGGAUACGGGCAGACUAGAGUGCGGUAGGGGAGACUGGAAUUCCUGGUGUAGCGGUGGAAUGCGCAGAUAUCAGGAGGAACACCGAUGGCGAAGGCGGAUCUCUGGGCCGAUACUGACGCUGAGGAGCGAAAGCGUGGGGAGCGAACAGG